AAUACCAUCAUAUUCAUACAAAAUUUUAUUGCGUCUUAGCCACAAAAAUCUAGCAAUAACCAAGAAGAGUUCAAAAUGUGCAGCUUCUAAAUACCCUUCUAUGGUAAGAACCAGGUCCAUGAAAUUGAGAUCAGGAAGACUAAACUUUCAAAUUUUUUUUCAACAAAGAGCCCAAACAUCCUUAGUACAAGGGCAUCCCCAAACAGAUAAGUAUUAUAGUUUUCACAUCA